ACAUACUAAUAAUAACCAGCCCGAUAGACCUCUGCUCCUGUGCUCAGUGCUCUUAAGGACAAUAAUGACAACAGUCAUAAUAGCCACAGUUUAUUAAGCGCUUACUCUUCCAUCGCAGUGUUAAGCGCUUUGCAGGCAACAACCCUCGGAGAAACCUUGGCGGCGAGGCCCGCUGCUUGCUGUCUGAUGCAACAGUUUGCAACGCGGUUCUGGGAGUGGAGGCCUGUGGUGCGGCACUCGGGCCGCUGACGCGCAUGCGCCGGCUGUGUCCUGCCCCGCCCCGCGGCGGGAAUCUUUUCACCAGAUGUGCGGGGCGGGGAUGGAGGCGGGGCCGGAGGCGCGCAGAUCUUUUGGCAGAUCGCGCUUGCGAUCUGAGCCGAAUUAGAGUUCUUCGCAGGCAUUGGCUGACUGACCCAGUGAUCCAAAAAAAAAAAAAUCACCCCAAAGGAGCCUGGAGAGAGAAGUUAAAGAGCUAGCUGGCUUUUGAGUCGACCUCCCUUCCCGAGCCUCCGGAUUUCUGCUGCUGUCCCACCUAUCCUGCCCUGAACAUUUUCUUUGCAGGAGGGAACAUGUCACAUCAAUAUGUUCUGCCUUUCAGAUGUCUGACGAUUCAGAUGAAGACGAUUGUCUUCCAUAUACACAUUCCUCCGGUAUUAUAGAUUGUAACUGACUUCUAUUUUAUUAAAUGUUUCUCUAAAUUGACUUUAAAUCGAUUCUCUUUUUAUGUACCCUUGCCUCAAGAGAUAACAUUAGAGAAACCAUAGCCUGAAAAUAAGCUCAGAACUAUUCAAAUAAAAAUGUUUGUUGUUGU
rnacentral:lncRNA from 1 species